AAUCAACGCUGGCGGCGUGCCUCAGACAUGCAAGUCGAACGCGAAAGGUUCCUUCGGGGACCGAGUAGAGUGGCGCACGGGUGAGUAACACGUAGGUAAUUUGCCUUUGGGUGGGGAAUAACUCAGGGAAACUUGAGCUAAUACCGCAUAAUGCAGCGGCUCGACAUCGAGACAGUUGUUAAAGCGGGGGAGUUCGCAAGAACCUCGCGCCUAAAGAGAAGCCUGCGGCAGAUUAGCUAGUUGGUAAGGUAAUGGCUUACCAAGGCGACGAUCUGUAACCGGCCUGAGAGGGCGGUCGGUCACACUGACACUGACAUAC
rnacentral:rRNA from 1 species